rnacentral:rRNA from 1 species
UACAGAGGUCUCAAGCGUUGUUCGGAUUCAUUGGGCGUAAAGGGUGUGUAGGCGGCGCGGUAAGUCGGGUGUGAAAUCUUGGAGCUUAACUCCGAAACUGCAUUCGAUACUGCCGUGCUUGAGGACUGGAGAGGAGACUGGAAUUUACGGUGUAGCGGUGAAAUGCGCAGAUAUCAGGAAGAACACCCGUGGCGAAGGCGGUUCUCUGGGACGGUACUGACGCUGAGACGCGAAAGCGUGGGGAGCGAACAGG